rnacentral:sRNA from 1 species
GGACCUUUGUUCAGCUUGCUUCCGCCGAGCCGAUGCCUCAUCGACAGGAUAGGCGAAUUGUACGCUGUAGUAGAGUUCAGGCUGCUCUU